GGCGGGGUUGUCGGAGAAGGCGUAGUUGACCGUCUCGCACACGGUCGCCUCGUCGUUCGCGACGAGGGCCUGCCACCA
rnacentral:tRNA from 1 species